GCAAACUUGGUCAUUUAGAGGAAGUAAAAGUCGUAACAAGGUUUCCGUAGGUGAACCUGCGGAAGGAUCAUUAAUGAAUAACUUGAUGUGGUUGUAGCUGGCUCUUAGGAGCAUGUGCACGCCCGUCAUCUUAUCUUUCCACCUGUGCACAUAAUGUAGAUCUGGAUAACUCUCGCUCUCCCGAGCGGAAACAAGGAUUGCUGUGUCGCAAGACCAGCUCUCUUUGAAUUUCCAGGUCUAUGUCAUUACAAACCCCAAUCGAAUGAUGUAGAAUGUAGUCAAUGGGCUCUAAGCCUAUAAAACACAAUACAACUUUCAGCAACGGAUCUCUUGGCUCUCGCAUCGAUGAAGAACGCAGC
rnacentral:misc_RNA from 1 species